GCUUCCGUCGCGUCCUUCCGGUUCCGUCGUGGAACCUGUGACCCGGCUGCUCCCCGGCCGAACUCGCGGGCUCUGCCUGCCGUUCGCACCUCCCCGAGGCGCCCGGCCCCCGGGGCUGUCGCAGGUCGGGGUCGCCGGACCUUGUUAGCUCGCUGCGUCCUGUCGUCCCGCACGCGGGAGGGGGCUUUGCCCACCCCCGGGCCGACGGGCUGGGUCAGCAGGAGCCCCGGCGUGUGUGGCCUCGGACCCGACGCUGCGCCUUCGAAGCCUCCCAGUGGCCGGCGACGCCCCUGGUGGUCUGCGCCUCGCGCCCUUUUCAGCCCGCUGUUAUUUGGCCCUGAAAUGCCCGCCCCACUCCUGGACCCCGUUAAUGGGAAGCACUAAUAAGUCUGCGGAGUUACAGGCACGGAUUCUGAAGGCAGCAGGCUGAACUUGGCUUGUGGACUCCACUCCUGGCCUCUCCCUAAACGCAGUGGGUCUUCACGUGAGCUUUGGGGGAGAACAGGAUUCGCUACGCCUCUUCCCCGGUGGUUUAGGGGUUUUGUUCUGUGGGAGAGAUGACCUGCUGCAGCGGCAGGUCUCACUGUUCUGUUUCACCAGGCCACAGUCUUCUUCGACAUCCUGCAUAGUUAGUGGGAUCUCUGGACCAAUUCCCCAGGCUCUGUGAGACAUAUUCACUCAUUGCCUAUGGGGCUGCAACUGUAUCUCGUAGACCAGAAUUUACCCUACAUCUGUCAAUUCCACAUUUAAAGUUGCAUUUAAAUGGGACUGGUGUCUGGGACUCAUUCCUUUGGGGAAUUGAGAAUUAUAGUGAAGCCAGAAUUAGGCAGAUAGGCAAGGGUCAAAUCCAGAGAAUGGAGGGAUUGAAAUGUUAAUUCCUUCAGAGCCCUUCCUCCACCUUUAUCAAGAACCUGCCCCUGCUCCCACCUGUUGCUAAGGUAAGCUGCCCCAGGAAUUGUCCCUCCCUACAGGGAGUUGUAAAAGUUGCUAAUUAAUUCACCCUGGGCCCCCUUCCUGCCCAGAACACUCUUCCCUGACUCCUCCAGCUGGCCUGUCUCCCACCUUUUGGCCAUCCCAAGAGCAUCUCCUGGACCUAGUCAUGCACAAGAAAGGAGAGAGAUAAGGGGAAAGAGCAGGAGAACAAAAGAAGCCUAGGCUAUACAAAAAGGCAGAACACCCUCACUUCUUGGGAUACCAGGAUACCAGCUAUGGCCCCCUUCUUCCUCUGGGGAGAAGUCUAUGUUACCCCUUUUGUAUACAAACCCUGUUUUACAUGCUUGCCACAGCGUGCUUCUCUAAUAUUAUGCUUCAACACGUGAAGAAGCAGGUAACUGGCAGUAUCAAUAGGAGGAUUUUAGCAAUAAUACCUGGGACUAGAACCACUCGGACCUGGGCAAGAGUUAGCAAGCAUUUUAUUUCCUCACUAGUAGACAUCAGCUUUGCUUACAACAAUGAUAUUCUUCCAAUCCCUUUAAAGAUAAUAUACUAGAUUCAUAGAUUGUUUUUGUUUUCCAGAUCUGCCCAAUGAACUUGAUGAAGCAUGUCAGAUUUAACCUAUGAGGUACACUGUGGUAAUCCCAUGAAUGCUACAGCAGACUUAUUUUAAACAAGUUUGCUGGGCUGGGGAUGUGGCUCAAGUGGUAGCGCGCUCGCCUGGCAUGCGUGCGUCCCGGGUUCGAUCCUCAGCACCACAUACAAAGAUGUUGUGUCCGCCGAGAACUAAAAAAUAAAUAUUAAAAAAAAUAAAUAAAUAAGUUUGCAUGCAGUGUAAGAGUUAAGUGAAAUGCUAAGAGCAAAUUGUGGUCUUUAGCACAACCAAGAGUUAAUUUUAAAAAGUUGUUCAGUUAUUAGAAAAAGCUUACCAAAAAUCCAAAAUCAUUGAAAGUAUUCCAUAAAGUUUUAGACAAAAGUGGUUUCAGAAAAUAGACUGCAUAUGAAAUAAUCAUUAAAAUGACAUUCAGGUACAAUGUAGGGAAAUUAGAACCAGGAAAUAUUUAUGCAUAAUCCUGAAACUAAUUUUUGUAGAGACUAUUUUCUGGUCACUAUAGCUCAAGAUAUAGCUUCUAUUGAAGAAAGAUUUGAGCAAAAUGACAAGAGAUCCACUUUAAUUUUUAGGUUUUUAAAAUGCUGGCAUUGAAAAAUGUAAAAGAAGAAGAACUUAAAGAAAUCCUGUUGUUCCAAGAAAAAGUACUAAUUGGGAAAUAACAGAACACUAGAUAAUGAUAGAGAAAUGUAAUGUUUUCUGUCAUAAUUUUUCAUAUGUAAUGUAAUGUUUCAAAUGUAAUGUUUUCUGUCAUAAUUUUUCAUAUGUACCUUCCUAGUAAUAUUUAAACAUGAUAUUAAUAUUCAUGAUUUAAUUCUGAAUCUAAAACUUAAGGAGUCCUAUUCAUAAUUACAGUGAAUACACAAUUGUUUUUAUUUGGCACUGUUGUCAAGAACACCAUUAUGUGGAAAUAUUUAUUACAUUAACACAAUGAUUUUUCUGAAGAAGACAAGAAAAAUUAAAUUUGUGGAAUAAAUAA
rnacentral:lncRNA from 1 species